UAACGAAUCUUCCGCAAUGGGCGAAAGCCUGACGGAGCAAUGCCGCGUGUGGGAUGAAGCGCCUUCGGCGUGUAAACCACUGUCAGGGAAUGGAACCAAUGAUUAUUCCCAAAGGAAGUGGCGACUAACUCUGUGCCAGCAGUCGCGGUAAUACAGAGGCCACAAGCGUUAGUCGGAAUCACUGGGCUUAAAGGGUGCGUAGGCGGGCCCGCAAGCGUCUUGUGAAAUCCCAUGGCUCAACCAUGGAAUUGCAGGGCGAACUGCGGGUCUUGAGGCAGGUAGGGGCCGGAAGAACAGUAGGUGGAGCGGUGAAAUGCGUAGAUAUCAAGAGGAACACCUGAGGUGAAGACGGGUUGCUGGGCUGACACUGACGCUGAGGCGCGAAAGCCAGGGGAGCAAACGGGAUUAGAUACCCAGGUAGUCCCUGAGCGGGCUGGCAAGGCGCAU
rnacentral:rRNA from 1 species